UCCCCGUUGCCGAGGCAGUCUCGCAAGAAAAAUACAACUUGCGAUAAGGGUUGCGCUCGUUAAGGGACUUAACCCAACAUCUCACGACACGAGCUGACAUCGGCCAUGCAUCACCUGUCACUGCGCUCCCGAGGGCACAGUCGCCUUUCGGCGACCUUCGCAGGAUGUCAAGCCUUGGUAAGGUUCUUCGCGUAUCGUCGAAUUAAACCACACGCUCCACCGCUUGUGCGGGUCCCCGUCAAUUCCUUUGAGUUUUAGCCUUGCGGCCGUACUCCCCAGGCGGGAUGCUUAACGCGUUAGCUUCGCUACUCAAAAGGGUCGAUACUCUCAAGCAGCUAGCAUCCAUCGUUUACGGCGUGGACUAC
rnacentral:misc_RNA from 1 species